rnacentral:rRNA from 1 species
CCUACGGGAGGCAGCAGUGAGGAAUAUUGGUCAAUGGACGAGAGUCUGAACCAGCCAAGUAGCGUGAAGGAUGACUGCCCUAUGGGUUGUAAACUUCUUUUAUAUGGGAAUAAAGUGUUCCACGUGUGGGUUUUUGUAUGUACCAUAUGAAUAAGGAUCGGCUAACUCCUUGCCAGCAGCCGCUGUAAUACGGAGGAUCCGAGCGUUAUCCGGAUUUAUUGGGUUUAAAGGGAGCGUAGGUGGAUUGUUAAGUCAGUUGUGAAAGUUUGCGGCUCAACCGUAAAAUUGCAGUUGAAACUGGCAGUCUUGAGUACAGUAGAGGUGGGCGGAAUUCGUGGUGUAGCGGUGAAAUGCUUAGAUAUCACGAAGAACUCCGAUUGCGAAGGCAGCUCACUGAACUGCAACUGACACUGAGGCUCGAAAGUGUGGGUAUCAAACAGGAGUAGAUACCCCUGUAGUC